AUUGAACGCUGGCGGCAGGCCUAACACAUGCAAGUCGAGCGGAUGAAGGGAGCUUGCUCCUGGAUUCAGCGGCGGACGGGUGAGUAAUGCCUAGGAAUCUGCCUGGUAGUGGGGGAUAACGUCCUGAAACGGGCGCUAAUACCGCAUACGUCCUGAUGGAGAAAUUGGGUGAUCUUCGGACCUCACGCUAUCAGAUGAGCCUAGGUCGGAUUAGCUAGUUGGUGGGGUAAAGGCCUACCAAGGCGACGAUCCGUAACUGGUCUGAGAGGAUGAUCAGUCAAAAUGGAAAUGAGAAACGGUACAGACUCCGACGGGAGGAAGCAGUGGGGAAUAUUGGACAAUGGGCGAAAGCCUGAUACAGCCAUGCCGCGUGUGUGAAGAAGGUCUUCGGAUUGUAAAGCACUUUAAGUGGGGAGGAAGGGCAGUAAGUUAAUACCUGGCUGUUUUGACGUUACCAACAGAAUAAGCACCGGCUAACUUCGUG
rnacentral:rRNA from 1 species